rnacentral:rRNA from 1 species
UCGAGAAUUUUUCUCAAUGGGCGCAAGCCUGAAGGAGCGACGCCGCGUGGAGGAUGAAGGCCUUCGGGUCGUAAACUCCUGUCAUUUGGGAACAAACCUUCCAGUUAACUGCUGGAAGACUGAUAGUACCAGAAGAGGAAGGGACGGCUAACUCUGUGCCAGCAGCCGCGGUAAUACAGAGGUCUCAACCGUUGUUCGGAUUCAUUGGGCGUAAAGGGUGCGUAGGCGGUCGCGCAAGUCGGAUGUGAAAUCUCAGGGCUCAACCCUGAAACUGCAUUCGAUACUGCGUGGCUAGAGUGCUGGAGGGGAGACUGGAAUUUACGGUGUAGCAGUGAAAUGCGUAGAUAUCGUAAGGAAGACCAGUGGCGAAGGCGAGUCUCUGGACAGCAACUGACGCUGAGGCACGAAGGCCAGGGGAGCAAA